rnacentral:misc_RNA from 1 species
CCCAUUUACUCCUUGGGGAUUGCGGGGGGCGGAUGAUGGCCUCCCGUGCGCCUCGUCGCGCGGUUGGCAUAAAUGCCAAGUCCUCGGCGACGCACGCCACGACAAUCGGUGGUUGCGAAACCUCGGUUGCCCGUCGUGUGCGGUCGUCGCGCAUCGAGGGCUCG